GCAUUGCUAAAGAGUCCCACAAUAGGACGAAACGGCCGUCCAGUGU
rnacentral:hammerhead_ribozyme from 1 species